UACGAAGGGGGCUAGCGUUGUUCGGAUUUACUGGGCGUAAAGCGCACGUAGGCGGAUCGUUAAGUCGGGGGUGAAAUCCUGGAGCUCAACUCCAGAACUGCCUUCGAUACUGGCGAUCUCGAGUCCGGAAGAGGUGAGUGGAACUCCUAGUGUAGAGGUGGAAUUCGUAGAUAUCAGGAGGAACACCGGUGGCGAAGGCGGCCAUCUGGACGACAACUGACGCUGAGAUGCGAAAGCGUGGGGAGCAAACAGG
rnacentral:rRNA from 1 species